AGAAGCAACUAAGGGCGCAUGGGGGAUGCCUAAGGCUCUCAGCGGCGAAGAAGGACGCGAUAAGCUGCGAAAAUGGUAGGGGAGUGGCACAUACAUGUUGAUCCUACUGUGUCCGAAUGGGGCAACCCAACGACUUGAAGAGUCGUUAUCCCUACGGGGAGGCAAACGGGGGGAACUGAAACAUCUAAGUACCCCUAGGAAGAGAAAACAACAGUGAUACCGUAAGUAGUGGCGAGCGAACACGGCAUAGCCCAAACCUAAUCAGUUACGGCUGAAUAGGGGUUAUAGGACUGCUUAUUAGGCGAUAAUGGGAAUUGAAUGACUUGGGAAAGUCAGCCGGAGAAGGUGAGAGCCCUGUAAAUGUAAAAAUUAUCAACGUAGCAGUAUCCUGAGUAGGUGGGGACAGGAGGAAUCCCCUCUGAAUUCGGCGGCACCAUCCGCCAAGGCUAAAUACGACUGAGAGACCGAUAGUGAACGAGUACCGUGAGGGAAAGGUGAAAAGUACCGGGAGUACCGGGGUGAAAUAGAACCUGAAACCAUGCGCUUACAAGCGGGCGGAGCCCUUAGGGGUGACGCCGUGCCUUUUGCAUAAUGAGCCUACGAGUUGUUGUUGCUGGCAAGGUUAAGCAUUUAAGAUGCGCAGCCGAAGCGAAAGCGAGUCUGAACAGGGCGCUUAGUCAGUAAUAGCAGACGCGAAACUUGGUGAUCUACCCGUGGUCAGGUUGAAGUGUGGGUAACACUACAUGGAGGACCGAACCAGUAAACGUUGAAAAGUUUUUGGAUGAACUGCGGGUAGGGGUGAAAGGCCAAUCAAACUGAGAAAUAGCUCGUACUCCCCGAAAUGUUUUUAGGAACAGCGUUGUGGCGAGUCAGUGUCAGGUAGAGCUACCGAUAGGAUGCGGGGGAGUCAAAUCCUACCAAAUUCUGACGAACUCCGAAUGGGCACUGAUAUACACAGCAGUGAGGGCCGGGGUGCUAAGGUCACGGUCCGAGAGGGGAACAACCCAGAGCAACCGCUAAGGUCCCAAAGUAUAUACUAAGUUGAACAAAGGAAGUCCGACUGCCGAGACAGCCAGGAUGUUAGCUUGGAAGCAGCUAUACAUUUAAAGAGUGCGUAACAGCUCACUGGUCGAGCGGGGCGGGCGUCGAUAAUAAACGGGCAUCAAGUAUAUCACCGAAGCGAUGCGAUAGCGAUAUCGGUAGGGGAGCAUUCCAACAUCAGUGAAGCUGUAGCGUGAGCUAUGGUGGAGAGGUUGGAAAAGCAAAUGUAGGCAUAAGUAACGAUAAUGUAUGUGAGAACCAUACACACCGUAAAGCUAAGGAUUCCUCAGCUAUGUCAAUCAACUGAGGGUUAGUCGGGGCCUAAGGGGAAGGCGAAGGCCGCACCUGACGGACAGCAGGUUAAUAUUCCUGCACCUGAUGCAAGUGUGAAGCGCACGGGGUAGAGGAGGGUGUACGAAGUGACGGAAGUCUUCGUUGAGCAGAGUCUACGGACGAAGCGAACAUCUGAACUGGCCUCCAAGAAAAACCGCUGAAACAUCAGCUUGCAUGAGCCCGUACCGUAAACCGACACAGGUAGCUGGGUAGAAUAUACCAAGGUGCUCAAGUGAAUCACGGUUAAGGAACUCGGCAAAUUAGUCCUGUAACUUCGGGAAAAGGGACACUCUGGCGCGAGCUAGAGUCGCAGAGAAAUGGCCCAGGCGACUGUUUAACAAAAACACAGGGCAACGCAAAGUGGAGACACGACGUAUGUUGCCUGACACCUGCCCGGUGCUGGAAGGUUAAGAGGGGAAGUCAUCGCAAGAGAAGCUUUGAAUCGAAGCCCCAGUAAACGGCGGCCGUAACUAUAACGGUCCUAAGGUAGCGAAAUUCCUUGUCGGGUAAGUUCCGACCUGCACGAAUGG
rnacentral:rRNA from 1 species